GAUGAAGAACGUAGCGAAAUGCGAUAAGUAAUGUGAAUUGCAGAAUUCAGUGAAUCAUCGAAUCUUUGAACGCACAUUGCGCCCCUUGGUAUUCCGAGGGGCAUGCCUGUUCGAGCGUCAUUAUCACCCCUCAAGCUUUGCUUGGUGUUGGGGCCUGCUGUAAUAGGCAGCCCUUAAAAUCAGUGGCGGUGCUUCAAGGCUCUAAGCGUAGUAAUUCUCCUCGCUAUAGUGUCUAGUGGUUGCCAGCCAGAACCCCCCAAUUUUCAUGAUUGACCUCGGAUCAGGUAGGGAUACCCGCUGAACUUAAGCAUAUCAAUAAGCGGAGG
rnacentral:misc_RNA from 1 species